GCACUGCUUGCCGCAUACCUAGGCCGCCCAUAGCGCGUAUAUCAUACACACAAGCCUCUAGGGCUCAGCCCCUAGCCUUACGAGCCUCGGCUCGUGAGGAAGCGCACAACAUUUUCGUUGGCGGCUUUGGCUUUCGUUACUAACUUUUUGUAGCCUUUUGCGGGCUCUGUGAGGCUUUACGACUUGGUUACGACUUGGUUUGGAUGGCUUCGGCCUUGGGUGGGUGCGUCGCGCCCUGUUUUCGGCAUCGCGCGUUCUGUGGCGGCUGGCCGCGUCUGGGUGGCCGGCCGCGCUCGUUCUGCUCUGUGGUCGCUUUUUGGUUUCGUGUGUGCAGGUUACGGGUGGCCCUGGUGGUCGCUCGUGGCCCGGCGCAAGCUUCGAUGUUCCGUGGUGCUCCUCGGCGCCUCUCCUCGUGCCGCCUGGCCCGCCGUCGUCUCCACCGGCGGCCUUGCUGGCUCAGCAGAUAGUUAGGUUGCGGGUGCCGUUCGUAGCAUGGCGGUUCAGGGACCGUUAGGCAGCAGGUGACGCUGGUCGGGUAGUCCCGGGUGUCGGGUUGUGAGUGCCCGGGCGGCUGUUGCCCGGGCGCCCGGGCGGCUGGUGCUCCUGUUCGCCUCCGGGCGCGCGCGUGCCUGUUUGAUGGGUCGGUCUAGUUCGCUGGUGGGGCGGGUGGAGGGCGGUGUGCCCGUGGCGAGGUGUUGUGGUGUACUGGUGGUUUGGUCAGUUUCCGGCUCGGUUUCCCUUUGUGGUGCCUCGGCACCGACGUUUCCGGACAUGGGCCUCCGGGCCAAGACAUUGCGCGUCUGUGACGCCGACGAGAAAAUGUGUGGUGCUUGCGUUUGAUGGGGAUGUCGGCAGACCUCUGGCCUGUCGCGCCUUGUUGUGCGUUGGUGCUGCCGCCAAAAGACCUAAACGAGAUGAGGGGUGUUACGUGGCGGUGGGGCUUUGGCGGGCUUCGGCUUGGCUUCGACUCAUGUGCGUAACACUAUGAAGGUCGGCAGCCAACCAGGGGGCGGGUGUUGUUUCUCUGGGUCGCAGAUGGCCCUUCGCGGCGUGGGUACGGCGUGCCCCCGCUUGUCGGGCUGUCCCUUCAAUUGUAAUCCGCAUCCAUACGAGCUUAUCAGGCGUUCUCUUAAAAAGUUGCGCUCAUAGCGACAUUUCAUAGCGCCAAGGGCUGCAGCGCAAGCAACUGCAAAAAGGCUCAGCUCUUCGCGCCUUUGCUUUUCAUCAGGCAACUUCACGUCAGGCGACAGGAGUUGCGUUCGCGACCACCAGGUCCGGUAGAGCCUUGGUGGCGACUGAGGGACUGCCCUUGGCGCAAGAAGAACCCCAGUCAGCGGGUCUUUGCGGAGCCGCGGCAGGUGCGCGCGCGAGAGCGCAAGCUGUGUGCUUAGACAGAUGAUGGAAGUUGCAUCCAUCAUCUUGGCCUUGGUUGCGGAGGCCUGGCCUGCGGUGCUGGCCUCGGGGGCUAGGCCGUUCUUUUUCUGCACCUAUGAGCUAUAUCGGACUCUCAGCUUACAACAUAGGCUGCAAACCUCAUUUGACCGCUGUUGCAGGCCUCGCUAAUUUGAAAGGCCUCCGACGCCAGCGCAACGAAAAAUGGCGCUCGCGGUGUCGACCAAUAUCGGUCAUCUGUCUACGGCACAGCGCGGAAUGCACGUUGGCUACCUGCACGGUGCUGCCCUACCUGCUUCUGAGCUGGCUGCCCACGCGGGAGCCCGGCUGCUCGUUUGCGCGGCGUCUGGUGAUGUUGCCCAGGUCGCGCGGUGCCUCGCGGACGGUGCAGAUCGGGACUAUCAGGACCCAAGCUCGGGGGAGACUGCGCUGCACAGGGCUGCACAGCGUGGGCAGGUGAGACACACUUUCGUUCCGGCAUGCGCAUGACAUCGAUUGCAUGCACACGCCAGCCACCGCUGCGGGAGGAAGGCCCGCCCAGGGAGCAAGAGGCGUGCUUACAAUUGGCACCAAGUGCAGCUCGAUCUGGUGCCAUAGAAGGAACUGCUGCGCCGGGCCCUGCCUAGUUGGUGUGGCGUUUGACCAACUGUCCAGGCAGGCACAGGCCCCAGCCCAGCCCUUGGUCCGCCUGCAGUAGUAGUCGCUCAUGUAUGCCGGCAACUGGCGUUACAGGCUGGGAGCGGAAGGGGGGGGGGGCGGGCGUGCCAACCGACGGCAGGAAUGGAGUUCACACGUGUGCGGGAGCGAGGAGAAAAGCGAAAGUGUGAACACGAACCGAGCAGCGGGCCAACCGAAGGUCGGCAUAUUCACACCCAUGCUCUCGCGCUGCUCCUGUUGACACCUGUUCAUAGCCAGCUGCUGUUGCUGCCUCAUUCUGCCCAGCCUGCUGUUCCUGCUCAUCCUGUUCAUGACCCCGCUCAGGUGACAAUGCUGGAGACGCUGCUAGCGGCUGGGGCCAACCCACACAGCGCCGACCGCGGCGGCCGCACGCCGCUUUUCGCCGCCGCCAACGCCGGCAGCCUGGCGGCCGUGCACACGCUGCUGGCGCACGGCGCCGUGCUCUUUCCCGCACCCUCCACCCUCCCCUCCUCCACUUGCACCCCCUGCUCCGGCGGCGCCUGCCGCUCCGGGACAUCUUGCUGCCACCCCAACCACCACCACGCCUCCGCCACCUCCACCUCCUCCUCCUCGCCUUCCUCCUCCUCGCCGCCUUCCUCUGCGGAGGAUGCUGAUGACGCGGCGUUCCUGGCGCUGCGCACCACCUGCCCGCUGGCGGCGGCCGCGGCGGCGGCGCGCUGGCCGCUGGUGGCGGCGCUGCUGGGGUCGCUGCCGCCCAGCUACCAGCAGCAGCCGGCGACGCUGCGGUCGCUGCGGUUCCUGGUGUGGGCGCUGGCCUCGCACAAAGCCUUCCCUCGCGAGGUGCGUGCAUGCGGCAGGGGUGCUGUGCUGUGGUGGGGUGGGGUGUGGGGUGGGGUGUCUAUUACAGGUCCCAAUUGGAGUGGGAUGGGACGUGGAGCGGGAGCGACGGUUGGGUUGCACGGCAAGGCACGGCAGGGCAGGGCUGGAUCGGGGCUCGUGUCAUGGCGAGGAGGCCGGAAGGGCGGGGCGGCGCUCUGGGCACCUGGCGGGUAUGGCGGCACGCCUGGUUGUGACACGCCGGGCCGUACAUGACACGUGUGCAUGCAGGUGAUUGCCCGGCUGCCUCGGCGGCUGCCCGCCUGUGUGCUGAACGCGGUGCGGCCCGCCACGUUGGCCUCCACGCCGCUGGUGCUGGCGGCGGGCAACGACCAGCAGCAGCUGAUGCAGUGGCUCCUGCGGCAGGUGUGUAUGGGGGGCGAGGGGGGGCGGGUGCGGGUGAGAGGCUGCGGGAGAUUGGGAGCGGCGGCGCCUCCCGGACCCGAGCCGCCCAUGCCUUUGGGGUUGACAGGGACUCGGGUGGUGCUGCCAAGGAAUCCGUUGUGUUGCCAUGUCUGCUGACGGCUAACGCCUGACUCCGGACGCCUUUGACCGCCUGUCCACUGGCAGGGUGCGGACCCGGAGCUGGGCGCGCCGCUGUUGCUGUGCGCGGGCCGCUUCUGCCGCGGCAGCCGAGCCUGCUGCGUCAGCACGCUGUUGCGGCUGGGCGCGGCGCCGCAUGUGGCGUGGGCCGACAACCCCUCCGACUCGCCGCUCAUGGUGCGCGGGCGUGCUUGGGGGAGAGGGAGGGGGAGCGGGGUACAGGCACAGGGCAGGUGGCGCAUGGGAGGACUGCGGACUCUCGGGGUGGAUGGGUCGGGAAGGAAAGGUUGUAUGUGGGUGUGUGUGGUGGGGGGGGGCUGUGUCGGAGCUGGAGGGUUGCAUGCGCCUGCAGGCACCCACCUGCCCUGCCCCCUCCCCCUCCCCAAUGCCUGAACCUUGCCAUCCCCAUCUCCACCCACCACCUGACAGCUGGCGGCUCGCGGCGACUGCUUCACGCACGUGCACUGCCUGGUCGCACACGGUGCUGACGUGUCCGGCGAGGCCGGCCGCGUGCGGGCGGCGCUGUACACCCCCGCCGCCUGGGAGCGCCACCUAGAGGCGAUGCUGACGUCACCGCACGCGGCGGCGCUGCUGGCGCAGCACGCGCAGCAGCAGGCGGCGGCGGCGGGCGGGGAGGAGGAGUGGGGCCUGCUGUGCCCCUGCGGCCAGUCGCAUGCGGCCUGGCCGGGCUUGUGGCCGUCGGAGGAGCCGGCGCGCGGCACCGGCGACGGCGCGGGGCCGGAGGGGCUUGAGGAGGCUCUUGAGGAGGAGGCGGGUGCGGGCGCGGGUGGGGGUGGAGGCCGGGCGGGGUCGCGGGAGGGCGGCGAGGGCGGCAACAGCUGCCACAACCCCACGCCCUCGGAUGACGCCUGGUACCGCCACCACCGCCUGGAGAUGGAGCAGCUGCAGGUGAGGGGGGCGGGAGAGCUUGGCGGGGGCGAGGAGGGGGGCGAGGCAGGGGAGCGAGGGGGCGAGGGGGCGAUGGGCAGGGGAGGGAGCGAGGGAGGGGAGCGAGGGGGCGAGGCGAGGGGGUGAGGGAGGGGGCGAGGGAGGGCCAGGAGGCGGCGGGGCAGACCUGAGGGAGGUCACCGCAUGGGCUGGCACGGCGCGGAUUGGGGUUGGCCGAGUGAUGUGCUAAAUGCUCUUGUUUCGGGACCAGGCGUGUACGCGUUCGGGGCGCUCGUCGGACGUCACGCCUAUUGAUCGCGUGUGUUGAGUUCGUUCGUUUGUUUGCUUCCCGGCCUCUCAGGACGGCGCCGAGCUGGCGGACUGCCGCAAGGCGGUGGACGACCUGUGGGCAUUUGGUUGCAGCGCCGUCACCGCCGAGCUCACAGCGGAGCUGGCGGCGGCGGCGGCGGCGGCAGCGGCAGUGGCCGCCCAGCAGGCGCAGGGGCAGCAGCCGCAGCCGGCGGCGCCGGUGCCGGUGCCGGUGCUGGCGCCGCACAGUCCGCUGCCGGCGGCCGUGCUUGCGGCGCUGGGUGAUGUGGCAGGCGGCUGGCUGGCGGCGGCGGCGCGCUGCCGCCAGCAGCGGCUGCUGCGAGCUGACCUGUACGACAAGGCAGUGGGUGCGGGGCUGCGGCUGCUGGAGCAGAAGCGCGUGGCGGCGCUGGCGGCGCUGGGCGGCGCGGGCCUGGCUUCGGCUCUGGUGGCAGAUGAGGAGGAGGGGCAGGAGAGGGAGGAGGGGCGGGCCGCGGGUGGCAGUUCCUUGGCUGUGGAGCUGAAGAUGGAGAUAUUGGCUCUGGCCGGCCUGGCGCCGCCGGGUGUGGAGGCGGGCCUGGCAGCGGCGGCGCGGCCGGCGCGGCGGGCGUGCGGCUGCGACGGCUGCUGCCCUGGCAGCUCCAGCGCAUGAGGCGCUGAGGCGGUGGUAGCCUCAGCAGUCGGUGCCGUUGGAGCAGCAGCAGCAGCAGCAGUGGGUGGCUGCGAGGGUGGCCGCGAGGCGGUGGGUGGGGUCGUUGGGGCCACGCGAUGGGAGGCGUGUGCCUGUGUUGGGUGCCUUGGCGGCACCCCGGCUUACUACAAUCGGAUAAGGGGCGGUGCUGGGGCCUUUCCCGCACUGCGAAAUAAAGCAUGGAUAAGCGUUCGUCCGCGCCUGAGACAUUAGCUUACAUGAGCAUAUACAGGACGCCGAUGCUGUUGCGUACAGAUACCUGCAUUUGGUUUAGCGCCGCGUGCGCUGUUGGUCAGUGCGGCGCGUUGUUCGUCGCGUUUUGGGUUUAGUAUGGUCACGUACCGUAUUUUCUUCUUACAAGAACGUUGGACCACGUCUGCAGUUCGCGGCACCACGGCUGGCAGCAGGCGGCUGGAUUUGGGCCGAACGCAUUUUGGUGUGGGGUGUGUGGUUCAUUGUAUGCGCCAUUAGGGAAUGGAGGUAUUGGGCACAUGGUGUGUGGGGUUGAUGCGGCAGUGGGCACGUGCUUAUGCGCCGCUGAGCUUGUGCGGUGUCCAGGUUUGGAAGGGCGGUUUCCGUGCGCAUCCGCCAUCAGCCGGUAUACGCGUGUCUUGGGUGUGGCAUGUGGGUCGCACACAGCAAACCGUCAGUAGUUCAGUUGCUAGGGAGGACGCGGCUCAUGCUGCCUGUGCGUUGGACGCGUUGGUGUCCAGCGCCCGGUGGUGGAAGCGGCUGUGCGCGUGGGUUGUACCAUAGCCUGUCAUAGUGUCAUUCCUUUCGUUGAAUUCGUACAAAGUGUACUUGAGAGAAGACUAAAACAACACGCACGCCGCGCAUGUGGCUUGCAAUAAAGGUGUAGACAGGUGCCGAACAGGCCCUGUGACGAUGAGCGCUAUAAUAAGGUAUGGCGAGGUCAAGCUGUUGGACUUGCACAGGAAUGCAUUCUAUAGGAGGUGCGCGGGUUUUGAACAGUCGGCACGAAGGCCUCUAGCUCCUAGGAGCUCCUCGCCAGGGGAGCGCCGGGUGUUACAUGCUUGGACUGUCCAAUCCCUGUCAGUCUUUCGUGUAACCGCUCAUGAAUGGGCCACCGCGCUCCUGUCUUGGUUCCCCCGUGCUGCCAUCAGCUUUUGGGCCGCUGUUGGGCCGCUGCAGAGGCAACUGCGACUAGAUCGCGACAGUCCCGCCAUCCCGCAGCGGAGUUGACACCGUCAUGCUUGCUGUCGUGCUGCAUCUCAGACGUGCCAAAGCUGCUGCGGUGGUGCACGGCACCGGUUCACGAAGGACGAAGUGCGUGUGUUACAGACGUGCAACCUGGCCUUUGGCCCAAGCCACCCCUCCCACACACACGUCUCUAAUGCGCGUGCAUGGUCUCCGCGCGUCGCCACAUUUACAACCACCCAAGACCGCCUCGUGCGGUCUCGUGCGGACACACACCUCGCUGCUACCGCCUGCGCUAGCUCAUGAGUAGAAUGCCGUGUGGGUCUCUUGUUCGCCGCCUUGCCAUCUUGGAGGAACACCGAGCUCAGGCAUAACUCCGAUAUGGCCACACUGCAUGCCACCUUAUGGUACUGCUAUUGGCCCCGCUGCUACAAAGCAUGGUAUCCCCAAGGACGAACAAGCACCAGCUGGGCUUGCAACUGUAACAUACAUAAGAACAUAUUAACAGGCAUCAGAAAGCAUCUUCACCAGCUCACCCAGCCUUGCCCUGCCCCUCCGCACAACAUCAGCGAAGGAUAGCGCUUGGGCUCAUGUGAACUGCACGCCACGACCCCAAAUACCAUUUUAAAACCCAAAUGCGCCAGGGAAUUACGGAAACCGAAGAUAUUAGUCACGGUGUGCGGCCUGUCAGUCAGGGAGUGACCCUGUCCCCAUUAACGAAGCCCUUGGAUGAAUAUCUCCAAGGCGCUCAGCAACUGUAGGCCCAUCACCAAUUGUGUCCCAUCAUACAAAACACAUACGGUGAACACAGGCGUCUUCAAAGUACCGUAGUUCAAACUGCUGGGACAAGCAUUGCCCUUCUCAUAUGAGAGGUAGUCCUAAACCAUUUUUGUGACGCACGCCAAUCAUGUGUCCACGACAAACCAGACCGGGCACCUAGCCCCAAACUUGAUGACGGCAACAACUCCAAGCUGUGUGGCCAGUCGGCGCAAUGACACCGCGCGGGCCAACGCGCAAUCCGCAGACACGAACCAAGUUACGGUACCGUGUGCCGGUGGACGCACAGAGCAUGACUAUCAAUCCAACAGCGGGAGUCCGCAAGACCCACGAAACCUUUAUUGGCUUGUCCGCGAGCAGCAAGCCCUGUCCGCCAAGCAACUUCCGUCGCAGCAGCCUCCACAACCAAUCGCACGUACGAUGGACCACGCGAGGGUGCGCGGGCACCCGCGCACGACCACCGUCCCGCCAUGCGUGAUGCGGCUGGCGGCGUGUGGUACGUGCCAGGCUCGCGCGGGCCGCCUCACACCCCAUGUUUCAGGAGCGAGCGGGACGGCGGUCACAGCACACCGAGAGCGUCGGCCAACGGGCCAACCACUUUCCCAAAGCGCCAACCCCCUGUACCAUUGUACCCCCUAAGUACAAUAUGACCAAAGUUAUGCUACUUAUGGCGGGACUUUGCUCCUGGCCACAGUCGCUCGUAAAGUGCUUCGCAUAACCCUCACCCUCAGAACGAGGCCAUGUUCCCCCCGGGGCAAACACUUGCCCUACACAUGACAAAACAGCGGCCUUGCAUCUCCGGCCCUGCCUCCUUCCUUUGCAGUGCCUCCGCGCGUUAUUUACUCGCUGAACAAUGUUAGCAACUAGCAUCCCGAGUAGAAGCAGUUAACGAUGAAAUGGUGCGCCCCCUGGGGCUCCCUGUUGCGCACUGCGCGUCACAACCACCCGCUGCAACAAGCAACGUGCCCGUCCGCGAAACGCUGGUGCCUCAUUCCCCGUUCCCCAGCGCCUCAGAGCCAUAGGGCAUCCACGACUGCGAGCCGUGCGCCCCUCGCGGCAGCACCCACGACUGCGUGUCGCCGCCGUCCGCCGCAACCGCCGCCGCCGCCGCCGCCGCCAGGGCCGCCGCCGAGCUGCUGCCGCCGGCCUGCAGCGGAACUACCUGGUUGGUACGCACGCUGCCGCCGCCGCCGCGGCGCGCACCAGCCCGCGAGCCCAUGCGAAGCUGCUGUGGGCCGCCGCUGGCGGCGCCGUCGCCCUUGCCCAGAAAUGCUGCAGCGGCCGCCGCCGCCGCCGAAGCGGCCGCGGCGCCGCCAGGCGAACUGGCGACAAAACUCCCGCCGCCUCCGCCGACUCCGCCAGCAGCCAUGGCCGUGGUGAAGCCUAUUCCCAUGGCGGCCGCCGCCGCGCCGCUGCCGUUGUACGACACCGUGCCACGUGGCGGCGGCGCCGCCGCCGGCGGGCCGCCCACGGACGCCCCCAGGCCGCCUGGCGUGGGCCUGGCGACGUCGACACUUGCGCGCCCGAGCGGGUGCCUGGCCACGGCUGCGAGCGGCGGCUGCAUGCCCGACCCUCCGCCGAGCCCCGCCGCCCCGCCGUUGCUGAGCGGCCGCGGAGCGGCUGCAAACAACUCGAAGGGUGUGGUCGGCACGAGCCCGCCUGACGCCGUGUUUCCAGGGCUUUCGCCGGUGGUGCCGCCGCCGCCACCGCCGCCGGCGCCGCCGCGUUUGAAAGUGGUGGACAGUGCGGAUGCCAUGGUGGAAGCCGCCGCCACGCCACGCCACCGCGACGCCGCUGUGCGGCCCUGCCCCUGCUCCUGCUCCCCAGACGCCGACCCUUGCCCGCCGCCUCCGCCGCCUCCACCCCCACCCGCCACUCGCCGGUUGGAUGGAGUGCCGCCCAGCGACCCCAGCAUUGGAGGCGUGCCCGUUGUGCUGCUCGGGUUGCCACGGCGCGGCCCGCUGAUAGAGCCCCGGAACACGCCAGCCGGCCCGCCGCCCAGCAGCUCCGUCAGCGCAGUGCCCGAUAGCGACGCAGCGUCGUUGCUGCCGCUGCCGCCGGUGCCGGCGCCGUAGCCGGCGCGCAGGCCGCCAGCGGCCGCCGCCGCGGUCGAGGGCCGCGUCAGCGCGCCGCCGGCUCCGGCUCCACUGCCGCCAACAGCUGCGGCGCCGCCGAGAAUGGACAUGGACAUUGACUGUGUGUUGGUGCCGGCCUCCAGGCGCUGAAUGCCGCCCUCCACCUCCACCACCCGCUCCUCAAGGUCGGCCAGCGCUUCCUCACAGCCCUGCACCGACUUAAGCACCUGCGCGGUGUCAAGGCGGGCGCAAAGCGGAAAGGUUCAUGUGUUUCAGAGCACGAUCCUGCCGCAUACUUUCCGCAGCCCCCUCCAACCCAUCCAACGCGUUGGCCAAAUCCUGUUACCGAAACACAGCCGCAUAGCUGCGCCCGUGUGCAAAGCACGCGCUAGGAAUCAAGCCAUACUCCGAGCCGUUCAUCUCAACAGUCCUGAUUGGUUGGCAACACCUCGUCAAAACGCACCGCCAUGAUUUGGUCCCAUUGCUUCUCCGACACGUAGUAACCGCCAUCCGGCAGCUUCUGCACCGCCGCGCCGCCGGACGACACCGGCACGUAGGUGUGCAGCGGCGGCGGCGGCGGCGCCCCCAGGGCCAGCAGCCCCGUGCCUGUUAUCAGACCGGAGCUGCGCCGCGCAUAGUGCGAGAUCGGACUCCCCACAGCCGCCGCGCUGUAGCCGCCAACGCUGCUGGGUCCGCCGUCCAGGCGGAUCAUGCUCUCCCGGCGGCUGUUGCGCCGGUGCUGCGCCCCUGCCGCGCCGCCGCCGUGCGGCGGCGGUGACACGAUGCCUCCUCCUGCCACGGACGCUGUGCCGGUGUCGGCGCUCCCGGGGCGCCUGGAGAUGACCACACGCAUGUGGAUGUCAGCACCGUCAGGGGCAAACGCCACCGCCGCCGCCGCCGCCGAUGCCGGCGGCGGCGCGUUCGGGUCCGGCAGCGCCAGCCGCGGCACCCUACUGCCGCCGCCUCCGCCGCGGCCGCCGCCGCCGAUCAGGCGCACUGGUGACAGCACCAUUCCGCCAUCGCCGCCGCCGCCGCCGUCAGGAUGCUCGGCAUCCCUAACAUGCCCGGCGCCGCCGCCACCGCCGCCGCCGCGCUGCGGGCUGGAGUGCAUAUGAACGGUGCUCGCGCUGCGGCCGUACUGGCCGGUGGCCGUACCGCCGCCGCCGCCGCGCGACAUUGGCGACAACAGGUCCGCCCCCGCACGCCGGCUCGAGCCGCGGCUCGCCUCGCCGGGCGGCCGCUCGUGCUGCUGCUGCUGCUGCUGCGCCGCCAUCUCCUCCCGUGCCUCCUCUGCCGCGUCCGCUGCCUCGUGUUGCAGCAGCUGCUCCAUGUACCAGGAGGUGAGCUUGCUGGCGCGGCGGGAAAGGUGGCGGCCGGGGCCGCCGCGCAGGAGGCCCGUGGCCGUGGUGUUUCGUGAGCCCGCCGCCGCCAUCGAUAGCAUGCCGGCGCCGGUGCUCAUACCACCGCUCGUCCCGCGCGCUCCCGCUGCCGCCAUUCCCGAGCCAGUGGCGGCGCCGCUGCGCGGCAGCCGUGCCGGCGCGGUGGCGUCCGGCUCCGCCGCCGCCGCGGCCGCCGCGGCCGCCGCGGCCGCCGCGGCCGCCGCGUCGGCUGGCAGUGUGGGGCUGGGCGUGGCAAAGGCACGGUGCGGGUGGCCGUAGGGGUGGCCGUUGCCUCGGGCCGGGCCGUCGAGCGGCACGCCGCCGGCGGCCAGCACCGCCGCCACUAGGUCAUCAGCAGCUGCGUCUUGGGCGCCGCUCGAAAGCGCGCUGGAGCGCCGCUGGUUGGCGGUGGCUGUGGGCACGCCGCCUCGGACGCCGCCGCCGGUAGAUCUGCCGGGCGCGAUGCCACCAGUGGUGACGCCCCGGCCAGGACUGAGCGGGUUGUGCUGGUUCGGAGCACCAGCGGCGCCGCCGGGCGAUGGCGCGAUCGGGGGCGAGAUAGCCUCAAGCAUGGCUUCAGCCACCGGCCCCGGCCCCACGCGACCGGUGCCGGCGCCAGUGCCGGCGCCUUGCCGGCCGGCGCCCGGGACGGCGCCAACGGACGGCACGUAGAGGGAGGAGCUGAAGAUGUCAGGGGCGGCGAGGCCGGCCUGCGACUGGCCCCGGGCUGUAGCACCGCCGGCACCAGCUGCAGCAGCAGGCCGCGCCGGCGGCGGCGGCGCUAUGCUGGAGAGCUCGCUGCUGCUCAUGCGGCUCACCAAGGCGACGUCGCCUGGGCCUGGCUCUGGAAACACCGCUGAGACGCCGUCCCUGGUGCUGCUGGCCAUGCUGGUGUAGCCGGCGCCGGUGCUGGGCUUUUGCGAGGAGCCGCGAGUGUACAGCCGCUGCAACCGGGCGCUCUGCGCGUGCGUCCAGUGUCAAAAAGGGUUAGGGUUUAAAUGGGUCGCGGUAUGCGGUGCUGCGCCCGGCUGCUCAUAGCAACCCUACACACACUCGGCCCCUUUGCUUGGCUGUCGAAACACACUCGACGGCAUGCCCCCGCCGUGCAACACGCCACCCGCCCCAUGCCCGCCGCCCCAUGCUCGCCGCCCCAUGCCCGCCGCCCCAUGCCCGCCGCCCCAUGCCCUCCUCGCUCCAUGCCCUCCUCGCUCCAUGCCCGCCGCCCCAUGCCCUCCUCGCUCCAUGCCCUCCUCGCUCCAUGCCCUCCUCGCUCCAUUGCAUCGGUCCGGUUUAGUUUGGGUAUCUUAACACCCCCCCGCCCCCCAUGCCCCACGCCGCACCCCCCCGCCGCCCUCACCUGCUGCUCAACGGCCCGGGCUGCAGCGACCGCGAUGCGGCGAGCCGACGGCCCCGUCAGGUCUAGGCUGGCGGCCUGCCGCCCCCCUCCCGCUGCCGCCGCCGCCUGCUCCUGCUGCUGCCGCCGCUCCUCCUCCCCGCGCGGCGUGAGCUGCAGCACGUCUGUCGGGCGAGCGAUGUCGAUCGAGCGCCUGCGUGUGUAACAAGAGGCAACGGUAUCAUUAUUAUUUUCGAGCGCAAUGAAUUGCGACUGUGUACCGUAUUGAGGGCACAUUGGCCCGGAACUUCGUUGCAAGUCUUCAACAGCAAAAUGACCCCAGGGUCUCACGCCCACCGAGCCUCCUCACCAAUACACACGACUGGCGGGGCGUGAGGAUGGCGAGCCGGGCCGGCCGGCGGCGGAGUCGUCCAGCAGUAGCGCCGCCGCCUGCGCCGCCGACAGCGCGGCCAGAGGCGCUUGCUUGCCACCACUCCCACCACCAGCAUCACCACCAGGAGCAGCCACAGCCACAGCCACAGCCACAGCAGCAGCAGCAGCUUCUUCCCCUGCGCGGCCUUGCCCAUCGCCGUUGUCGCUGUCGCCGUCGCCGCCGCGCCUCGGCGUCAGCUGCAGCACGUCUGUGGGCGCCGGCUCGCGCACCUCGCGCCAGUACCGCCGGCUGCCAGCGCGAGAGGAGCCCAAGGAGGGGCGGCCGCCCGCUUCCUGCCCUGCGGCCGCCGCCGCCGCCGGCGGCGACGGCGCCUGUGCCACUGCCGCCGAGGGCGCCGCCGGCUGCUGCGGCUCGGGCGGCGUCGGCUCAGCCCGCUGCGAUCCAACCACACGGCCCUCCGCCGGCGUCGCUCCCGGUGCAGGUGCGAAAGCGGAGGCCUCCACCGCCACGCGGCGCACAGCCAGUGCCUCCGCGGCCGUGGCGGAGGCCGCGGCGGCGCCCUCGCGGCGCUUGAUGGAGCUCACCUGGUCCACGUCACGUGCCCUGCCGCCCUGCAGCAGUCUGGCCGCCAGGCCGCCGCCGCCGCCACCAGCCUCCUCCUCCCCCGCCUCCUCCUCGUCCUCGCCACCCUCAUCCUUUUCCCACACGCCUGUGGCUCGCGCGCCCUUGCCGAGAUCCUGCUCGGAGCCGGGGCUGUCGUCCUCCUCGUCCUCCUCCACGGGCUGCAGCCGCGGCGGGCGGCUGCCGGACUUGCCAUGCACCCCACCCUCGCCCCCAUCACCAUCAUCGCCAUCGCCAUAGUGACCACCACCGUCAUCGCGCUCGGCGCCGUCGCUUGCGUGAUCGCCGCGCUCAUCGGAGCCGUCGUCCGCCGCCUCCUUGUGGGAGUUGGCAUGGGCGUAGGCGUGGCGGCCGGCGGCGUGCGCCUCGAAGAAGUCGUCAUCAUCCUCGAACUCGCCGGGCAGCCACAGCUUGCGGCUCACCUGUUUCGGUAACACAACAAGUCGAGGAGAAUGUUCCAGCCAACAAGAAUCGACAGUAGCCCCUCGCGUGCGUGCGUGUUGAUAGGGUGAUCAGUAGGAGACAGUAAUGCCCCCCAGCCCAGCGCUACAGCUAUCAUAAGCUAUCAGCGGCUUAUAAGUUAUCACCCACUGCCAGCUCGGUAAGUCGCUCCUCGGCGCGCUGCCGGAUGAGCGCCGCGCUCUGAGGGAAGUCGGCCAUCACUGCCUGCAGUCGGGCCGAGCCGUGCAUCCACAUUUCAGCAUUCCAGCAAUCCAGCAAUUCAGAACUUUAGCACUUCAGCAUCGUGUCCAGCACGCCAUAGCGCACAGAGGUCGCCAUGCCAUGCCGUGAGGCACCGUGCGAUGCUGCAGGCCUCCACACUCCACAGCCCCCCUCCGGAAGUGCAAACAGCACUACAGGCAGGCGCCACGCUGCCAACAACGACAACCCUACGCGGCAAGAAAUCGCUGCACCCACACCCACACCCACACUCGCACCCGCGCCCACACCCACACCCACCGCCAGCUCGGCCUUGCCCAGCACGGCCAGGUCCACGAACCCCAGCGCAGUGCAGUUGGCGGUGCGCUUGCCGGUGGACAGCAGCGCCACCUCGCCAAACACCUCGCCCUGCUUCAACAGCGCCACCAUCUCGUGAUGGGCCGAGGUCACCGCCACACAGCCUGCAGCGCCGCGGCACAAGCGUUGGCGCGGGCUUUCAGGAAAGCACUGAACAUGGUGCGGGUUGUUGCGGACACACGAAGAAGCUGGCGGGCAGCCGCGCCACCCUCACGCGCAAUGGGCAGGUGCCAUGUAGUCGUACCACGCUGCGCCAGCCCCCUCGCGCGCGCCCACGUCGCGGGCAGCUGCUCCACGCCACCCCGGCCCCGACUGUGCAGCCCGGACCACGGGUCCCACCACCACCCAGGUCUCAGCCAAGUCCCAGCCAGGUCCCAGCCAGGUCCCAGCCAGGUCCCCACAAGUCCCGGCGUGUCCCCAUCGCCGCCGCCGCACCCACCCUUGCGGAUGAAGUACAUGCAGUGCCCCACGUCGCCCACUCGGAACACGGGCUCCGCGGGCUGCAUGGACUGCAGCUGCACGCGCAGCGCCAGCGCUCGCAGGAAGCCGCGCUCCAGGCUGGCAAACAGUGGCACCUGCCAGCGCGAUGGCGCAUGCAGGAGAGGGAGGGGGGGAGCAUGACUGGGUGCAUGUGCAUGGGUGCAUUUGCAUGUGCAUGUGGUGUACGCAGACGGGCCGGGCGGUGCCGGGUGCGUGGUGUGCCCCUUGGCUGCAACCGCAACCCACAGCACGUCACAGCACGCCACGCCACGACACCGCAAGCACCCACCCACACGGCAGGCAGCCAUGCAGCCACGCACCUUCUCCACGGACUUGAAGUACAGAUACAUUUGCAGCUCCCGCAGCAGGCUGGAGGGCAGCUCGCGAAGGAAGGCCAUGCCCUCGGCGCCGGGGUGGCUCCGCUCCUGUGCAAGCAAUCGAGCAGCAAUGCGACCGUGUUGCAUCACGUGUAACGGUUGGGUGGCGCCGAAGGCAGGAGGCGGGCGGACACAACGCCCGGCCACUCAGCAGGUGCGGACGCCAUGCACAGCAUGUUUGUCUCUGUUCACACACAGUGUCUCUGCGUGUGUCCUUUGCUUGUGCUCCCUCUCUUCUGUGUUUGUGGAGGCACACACACAUGCGUACACGCUGCUUGCGCGCUUUGCUAGGACUGUUACGCUGCGCUGCUGCCGCCCGCACCUGCAGGAAGUCGAAGAAGCUCUGCACAUUGUCCUUGACCUUGUCCUGAACGCCCAUGUAACGCAGUGCGUCCUGCGUCAUGAUGCUUUUCUGCCUGCGGGUGUGGCGGGGUACGAGUGAGGGCGGGUGAGCAUGAGGCGGCAAUCACAGGCGAUGAGACGCGGGAGCGCUGAGCUCGCAUGCGAGAAUGCGCGCGGGCCGAACCCGAUCUGGGCCAAGCAGUAGGAAGAGGCGUGGAGUGGGUAUAGACUUGACGGCGCGUCCGCUCGGCCUCCACACCCCCUCCUCCUCACCCGUGGCGGUUGAUGGUGACGUUGAGCGUGGCGACUAGCGUGGCCAUCUGACCCACGACCGCCGAGUAGAAGAACACGCCCAGCACCUCCACCACGCAGUAGAAGGUGCGCUCGUAGUUGUUGUAGGCGUUGAUGUUGUCGCCCACCUGGCGUCGGGGUUGUUUGUUGCGAGCGGAUGCGACGUCAGGAGGUGGGUUGCCAGGGGCGUGAGGCACGCCCGCAUUCUAUGUGUAUGGUUUUUGCCAUGCCGGCGCUCUGCGGUGCUGUACUGAUACCAAAGCAGAGAGGCUGAGAAACUCAUGGCUACGAAACACGCAGGGCAAGCUCUUACUUCCUAUCAAUUUCCAUCUGUCCACAGCUACCGCACCCGCGCUACAGUAGGAACCCGCCCCAGGACCUUUCGGCCGGCAGCCAAACUGCAUCUCCUCUCCGUGCUUGUAUACUUAGCCCGCCCGCCCAAGCCCGGUAGCACCCACCAGCAACAGGAAUGAGGAGUAGAACAGCAUGAUGUAGUAGGCGAGUCCUUGGCUGCCGCCGUCAGGCACGGUAGCCUUCAUGAACGCCCACUCCUCGGCAUUGUUCUUACCGCCGAAGGCGUACAUCCUGCGUGGCCCGUCAGGCGGGCGGGUCGGGCGUGGCUUCGUAUGCUCGAUCGCCGUGGAUGCUGCUGCCCACAGCACGGCCUGUCUCUCACCUCUACCCCAUGCCACCCCACACACACCCCACGCCACUCCACACAUUGCAACGCAGGUGGCCCUCCACUCACAUGUACCAGAUGCACGCCAACCAGUGGCUGAUGAGGAUCAUAGCCAUGAACAGCUGAACAAUGCGGAAGAUCUUGGCGUUCUUAAAGCCGUCGAGGAAGCGCAGCAGCCGCCCCAGACGCAGCAUGCGCGGCGCUUUGAGAAAACCUAGCGCCGCCAGUGUGGUGCUGUUGUCUUGGUGGCCGGAGAACACGCCAGUGGCCGUGAUAAGAGCAUCCCAAGGAAUGGUACCCGACAAGUCGAUCCAGAACCACAUUUUCUGCGGGAAGAAGAGGGCGCGAGAUGCUAUGUGAUCAGUGGUGACUCCAAUAUCCCAUCAAUGGUCACUGCGUGAAUGCGAGCACGAAGGAUCUUAUAAGCCUGCAUUCGCGGCCCACGUCCAACCCGUACGGGCACGUCACAGGCUGUUGUAGCGCAUAUGGUUAUGCACUUAUGCCGGAUGUGACACGCUACGGUGUCCAGAACUGGGGCGCUGUUUGGGACAGGGCCACGUACAACACAGGCAUUUCAGGGCUUGUACAAGCUUCGAAAUGCCGCACCAUGUAGUUCGCGGCAAUGGCCGCCGAGUCGCGAAUAAGCUCGCCCUGCAGCAGAGACGUGCAGCACGCGACAAGCAACCAUUCAGCAAUAGGCUCCCGGCGUCUGGGAACACCACGGCUUGCACACACGGCCCCUGCCGCUCCGUGCAAGCCCUCGCCCGUCGCUCUUCCCAAGCCCUCCAACGAACCUGGUGGUUGUAGAAGGCAGUGCGGAAGUUGACGAGCAGGUCCACACCGAACAGGGCUGUCAUGAUGUGGUCAGCGGCGUCCCAAAUCAGCGUCCGGGGCGUGCCGAAGCUGACGGACAGCGGCACCGUCACCGCUGUCCACACCACCAUGCCCAUGACCAACAGGUCCCACCUGCAGGUCGUGUGAGCGCACAGUCACAAGCACCGCCACUGUCGUGACCACCACGAAAACCGACACAGAACCACGCCACGCCUACACACCGCUCCAAGUGCCGCGCUCCCUCAUGCCUGAGGCAGCUCAGGCCGCGCCAAGCUCGCCACAUAUCACAAGUUGUGAGUCGCAACCCGCGCACGGCACGCCCAACCACCGAGGACACCGCGCGUGCGCAGUUCCGCACUCACAUCCGGCGGCCGAUGGUGUCAGGCCGCAGGAUGGGCAGGCACGCGUCCAUCACCGUGAGAGGGUGGAACAUCUGCAGCCGCUCCCGCCACGUGCGCCGGUGGUGCCGGUGCCUCCGCUUCUUCCUCCGCUUCCCGCCCACCGCCUCCGCCGCCGCGUCCUCCUCCUCCUCCUCCCGAGCCGCCCGCAUCGCCUCCAAGUCAGCCACGCUGAAGCGCCGCUGCGCCACAGACAACGUCGACAUGGCCGUCUGCGAGCGGUUGUAGGCGCUGCGAGCGUCAAAGCUUUGCGCACGGCCCCAUGCAAGCUCCGAGCCGCCGCCGUCGUUGUCGGAGCCGGCGGUCAGGAGGAACGUCGCCUUCUUCCGCCCGCCGCCACCGCCGCCGCCGCCGGCCCCGGUCGCCUUCAUCUCCGCGAGAGUCAUGCCCGGCCCCAAGCCCAGCGCAAAGUUGACGGCCGGCGCCAGCCCGCGCGCUGGUGCGGGCGUGCGCUCAAAGCCAAAGGCCGUGGCGGUGAUGGGGUCGGCGCCGGGCAUGCCGCCGCCGGGCAACGGCGUCUCUGGGUCCGAGCUUUCGCCGUCGGCGCCGUUGCCGAGCCGGGAGUCGGCGUCCCGAAAGCCGGCCGCCGCCGCCGGCCCGGCGCCCGCGGGCUCCCCGCUUGCGACGGACUGCGGCAAUGCAGACCGCAGGAAGCCGGUAGCUGUGCCCGCCUUCUCCCUGGGGUCCUUGUCCUUGUCUCCAUCGCCCGCCUGGAACGCAGCCCACCAGUUGCUGCCUGGCAGCUGCCACGCGCCCUUGGCGCCGCCCGCGCCCGCGCCUGCGCCUGCACCUGCAGCCUCACCCGCAGCUGCACCCGCGGCAAGACCGCCACUCCGGCCGCGCGCAAGCCCACGCGGGCUGGGGCUGGGCAGGCCGCGCUGCGUGGUGCUAUUGGACGGCGCACCAAAGGGCUGGAUCCCCGUUGCACUGGUCCGCUGCCCGCCUACCUCGCUGCUCCUCGGUGCCAUGCCUUGCGCGCUGCGCCCGCGUCCGCCGCCUCCACCACCGCCCACUAGAGGCGAGCUGACGCCCCACGCCGCCUCCACGGCGCCGCCGUCAUCGGUGCUGGCACGCGCCUUCGCCGGGCGCAUGCCCGCCCGGUGCUGCCGGUACCUCCAGCUCAACGGCACCUCACUGCCGUCACCGCCCGCUGCUCCUGCCGCGCCUGCCGCCGCCGCGCCCAGGCCUGCUCCUCCUCCUGCUACCACCAAGCCGUCUAGGCCGCUGGUGGCCUGUCGGGCCAGCGCCGCAGCCGCUCCCGCUGCAGCCCCCGCGUCGCCCCGAGCCGCCAGCUCCAACAGGUGCUCCAGGUCGUGUUCCCCUGCCGCGCUGGCGGCGCCUGCCCUCCGCGUGCCGGGUAAGCCCGCGGCCGCCAUGACAGCCGCGGCCGCUCCUGCAGGCAGCCGGCUGGGCUGGGAGGCAAGCGAGCGGGCUGCCCCCGCGGCCGCUGCGGCUGUAGCAGCAACCAGCGCCGCCGCUUGGGCUGCUGCCGGGCCGACAGGGGCACAGGCAGAAGGGGGGCGCGAGCUGGGCUGCUGCGGCUGCGGCUCCGGCACCUGUGACAGGUCUGCGUCCCGCAUCCAUCGCGUGACUGCCGCACGCAGGCCCCGCUCCUUCUGUUUGGACUCCCGCGUCUCUUUUGCGGCUGUCGCUGCCAUCGCUGUGAGGAGAACGCGUGUACGAAGGGGCAAGCGCAGGAACAUGCUAUCAGGGCCGUGCAGGCUGGCCGGGCCCAGAUGAUGUACGGUACGACGCAAAGAAACUUUGCCGCUGGUAAGCUGCCAGCCCAACGCCCAGUGCUACUUAUACACGCAUAUAUGUACAAGUCCUCCCUGCCUCACUCAGUCCAGGCAGAACGGGCGGCCCAGUGACGCCACAAUGGCCACGCAAAUCAGGGCUUACCUUUCCCGCCAAGCGCCUCGCGCCCCCACAAAGCUGGCUGUGCGGGUGUGCCCUGUGCCGAGAAUCCGGGGGUGCACGCACAGGACGCGUCAGGGCCAACUGAAGCAGGCCUAGCAUGUAAAGCCGCGUUUUGCGAACUGGGGGGCUGGCCAAGCAACGGCAGAAUGACGGAACGGGCAUGCCUGAGACAUCAGUGUAUGCUCACCGUCGCUGUCGCAUUUCGACUCCGCGAAGCCAGCUGAACCGCAGGAACGCCAUCAUCACUUUCAUUGCUGAAGAGGUCAAUUGGCCGUCCUGACGCAUCCCCUUCCUGCAGAGCCCGGGAAGUCGUCAGCCAAGCCGGUCGAGCGCUUUUUAGAGAUAAGUUCCUUACUCGAAUCAGGUCAUCGACAUGCGUAUUAAGCGCCUCUUGGUGCAAAGCCGCUGCCAAUUCGGCCAUCCUCGCUCCUCGUUUGCGGCGAGACCGGCCUCGCCAGGCCUAGUAGCUGCUUAGUGACAGGAAAUCUGUGUGCAUCGGAUACAUCAUUUAUAGAUGCUCAGGUAGCAUCAGCCACGCCCUGGGACGCGGGAAGGCAUCUCAGUUGGUCCAACUUCAGGUACGCGUAUGCAGUGUACUUCGUGCGGCAGCGGUAAACAUCUAAGUGUCGUUUAACGACUGGAAGGCUGCGGUAAAAGUAUCAUGGUCGCGGAAAAAGUUCCACGACAAAGUGGGGGGCGGGUAUGAGGAAACGCGAGGUCAACGAAACGCAGAGGAGGCGGUUGUGGCUUAUUAAUACAUGCCUCGAACUAAAUACUGUAUGCGUACAGGUACGUCUUGCCGGGUUAAUACUGACCGAUUCAGCUGGGUCCCAUCUCGCGCGACUUGGGGAAGUCCGGGUCAAUGAGCAGAAUGAGCAUUGUCCAAUAGUAAUACACAUGCAAGUUGCUUCUCUAUACAUUAAAAUAGCAAAAUGAGUGUCGCCCUAGCAUCGGAGUACCAGCUCGUUCAGAAUGCACAGCUGCCGCAGCGCUGGUCGCAGUGAGUAGAACAGCAGCGCACCAAACGGUGUUCUCACGCGACAUUCAACUGAGGAACGCUGGCCUUCUAUGCGCAGGUCUGCUCGCAAGUCACUCGCGAUUUUGGAGGCGACAGCUCGCAAGGAAGCGACAGCUCAAAUGGAAGCGGCCGGGGGGUCAUUCUGCGGGUGAGUGAAGUAUACAGCGCUGGCCGCUGUGGUAUUAGCGUGGGGGAAAUCGGGGAUUGCGGAAGUGUUGACCCCCGCGACCUCGCGCUGCUUUUCGCUGCAGUCAAUUCCCCGUGGACCCUGCCUUCAAGGUCCUGUCGCUGGAGUAUUCUGCCCCGAACCCCGACAUCGCCCGGGCUAUCCGGCGCGUUGACUCGGUGCCGAACCCCCCGCUGCCCAGCCAUGUCGUCGCCAUCCAAAGCACUGCUGUCGACGCGGACCUGUCGCUUGCUAUGGGCGUCUCGCUCACGCCGGGCCGGCACACGUCGUAUUUGGUAGACGCCAGGGCCCUGCAGCAAAGCAACAGCGCCGCGGUGGCCGCCCGCAAGGCUGACGGUGACAAGUGGGGCCCAGCAUGCGACGAGAUGUUCCGGGGCUGUCGAUGUGUGACGGGGCAGGAGGUGGUUUUCUACACAGCUGUAAAGGAGCCGGCGGGGGAGGUGGAGGGGGGAGAGGGCUCCUUAUUCAAGCCAUCCUUUGAUGGCCCCGCCUUUCGCCCCUCAUGGGGCGAGCUGAGCGGCAAGGCAACUGGCGUGGUGGCAUGUGUCCUACAGGCGAGUAUAUGGUGGCCUCCUGGGCGAGUAAUAGGCUUGCAGACAUGUGGGUUCCUAAAGUAGCUGCCCCGCAGUUCCUAAUGUCUGACCAUCUAUCCAUGCCGACACGUAGGUGCCAAUUGGCAAGGAGACAGACAUAAUCUGCGCCGAGUACGACAACCUGGUCAGCAAGGGGCAGUUCGCGACUGUGGACCGUUUCGGUGGGGACCACACGGUAAGUGGGCCGAGCCCGCGUGUCAGGCACUGGGCCGCAUAAGCCGCACAGGACUGCGCAUUUGCACAGCAAUAUGACAUGCCGACUGCACAUCCUGGCAGGUGAACAUGACCGGCAACGCGCUGAUACAGAAUGACGGCAAGGCCAUCUCGAAAGGGUGCGUGGGCAAGGCACAGGGGAAACCAAAGCACCGUGGCCAAACAACCGAGUCUUGCGCUGUGAGCUCGCGAGUUUGUGCUGGGCACUGGGCAGCCCGGCUUACCAUCGUCCCAACUUAAGCCUAUUGGGAAGGACGGUGGUGCCACAGUCAAGCAGCCUUUCCUCUCGCAUGGCUACACUCCCACCCUACCACGCAGCCAGCUCCUGACCGAUCCCACCCCUUCCCGUGGUGGGUCACAGGUACGCCGUGGCGCACCGCGCCCGUGUCACCAGCAACGUCUACGGCAAGGCUAAUGAUGUCAGCCUGCAGCGCCUGGCGGAGACUGUAUGGAGCGUCGUUGAGAAGCGCCUGAGUUUCAUGCCGGCGUACCGGUGAGUGGUGUUGUUGCUGUGCUGCUAGCUCGCAAUGCGUAAAAUGACGUGCGACACACCUAGUGCUGUGAUCACCCUUGCUGAGUUGGCUCCUGUUGCUUCUGCCGCAGGGACCUGGUGAUCACCGAGCAAGGCAAGCCCUUCAUGCUUGGCGCGACUGCCACAAACAUCAUCUCUCUCACCGAGAAUCAGGGCGUGAUGCUGCACCUCGACACUGACGAUGGUGGGUUGGCACCAUUCAUCUUCGCUGGGCGCACGGGGCCUGUAUGUUUGCCCGCAACGCACUACUAGCUCUACACUGCUGUAAGCAGCGGGAGUGGAGUGGAUCCCAUCUCGCAGGUUGUACGGCGGCAUCCAGAAGUUUCUUAACGAACCAUGUGCUGCUAUGCACAGGUGUCUGGACUAUCAUCCUGUGGUUUCAUAGGCACAGCGGCAUCAUCGCUGGGGGCGAGUUCGUGCUGCCAUCGCUGGGCAUCUCCUUUCAACCACUGGACUUCACCAUCGUCGUGUUCGCUGCCAACACCAUCGUGCACGGCACCAGGCCCCUUCAGACAACCGGCAAGAUCAUCCGGUGGGGCUCCAGCCACUUCCUGCGGUUCAAGGAUGUGAACGCGCUGGCACAGCUGGGCGCUGCGUAUGGAGUGGACGAGCUGGACGCCAAGCAGCGGGACCAGCUCGAGGAGGUAGACGCUGCCAACAGCAAGGAUGGUGUCGGGGCUGCCAGGCGGGUCGCGUCUUGUAUGGCAGCAGAGCGUAAGGCCGCCAUCGAGGCACAGAAGGCGGCAUGCGUGCGUGGAGUUGUGAUGAACCCUUGUACUGGACGCAUGCCAUCGCUUUUGUUUUGGCAAGUCUGGCGGAAGCCUCCGGCUCUGGCUGUUCGGGCCAACGCCGUUGCUGGCAAGAAGCGUGCGGCAGCCGAUGUCGAUUUUUGUGGCGCAUAAUACGGGGUGUACAUGGGUUAGCACUGUUGCAUUACCCGUAAGAAGUAUGCAAGGCCCUAGACUGUGAGUUUGGCCAGGUGUGGGUUUAGACAUGUCGCCGGUGCAGGCUUGACUGGAGCCCCACCCUGCCCAGCCCCGAGCCCGGUGCUAGGUGGUUCUGGGAGCGGAUGGCCGGCCCACCGCGCUUACUUGCCUGAACUUACGUGCAUGCUUGAUCUGCAUUUACAAGGCCCUAGACUGCGAGUUUGGCCAGGUCGUGUGGGUUUAGACAUGUCGCCGGGGCAGGCUUGACUGGAGCCCCACCCUGCCCAGCCCCGAGCCCGGUGCUAGGUCGUUCUGGGAGCGGAUGGCCGGCCCACCGCGCUUACUUGCCUGAACUUACGUGCAUGCUUGAUCUGCAUUUACAAGGCCCUAGACUGCGAGUUUGGCCGGGUCGUGUGGGUUUAGACAUGUCGCCGGGGCAGGCUUGACUGGAGCCCCACCCUGCCCAGCCCCGAGCCCGGCGCUAGGUGGUUCUGGGAGUGGAUGGCCGGCCCACCGCGCUUACUUGCCUGAACUUACGUGCAUGCUUGAUCUGCAUUUACAAGGCCCUAGACUGCGAGUUUGGCCAGGUGUGGGUUUAGACAUGUCGCCGGCGCAGGCUUGACUGGAGCCCCACCCUGCCCAGCCCCGAGCCCGGUGCUAGGUCGUUCUGGGAGCGGAUGGCCGGCCCACCGCGUUUACUUGCCUGAACUUACGUGCAUGCUUGAUUUGCAUUUACAAGGCCCUAGACUGCGAGUUUGGCCAGGUCGUGUGGGUUUAGACAAGUCGCCGGGGCAGGAUUGACUGGAGCCCCACCCUGCCCAGCCCCGAGCCCGGCGCUAGGUGGUUCUGGGAGCGGAUGGCCGGCCCACCGCGUUUACUUGCCUGAACUUACGUGCAUGCUUGAUCUGCAUUUACAAGGCCCUAGACUGCGAGUUUGGCCAGGUGUGGGUUUAGACAUGUCGCCGGGGCAGGCUUGACUGGAGCCCCACCCUGCCCCGCCCCGAGCUCGGCGCUAGGUGGUUCUGGGAGGGGAUGGCCGGCCCACCGCGUUUACUUGCCUGAACUUACGUGCAUGCUUGAUUUGCAUUUACAAGGCCCUAGACUGCGAGUUUGGCCAGGUGUGGGUUUAGACAUGUCGCCGGCGCAGGAUUGACUGUCAUGGCCGGUCCCCCCUGUUCGGCUCUGCACUCCCACCAAUUCCGACCGAUUCCCACCGUUCCCCAGCAGUCCCCACGACCCCCGGAUGCAACGCCCCUCAAAUAGCCGUAAAAUUCAGUAAACGUAUGUUACAUCCGUGAAAUCUGGAACCAACAGUCCGUGUCGUUUGGAGCUGCGGCACCCUUGCGCAACGUUAGACACCUGCGCAAUCAUGCCCACCCAGGCCCACCCCGCCUCUGUAAACUCAGUAACUUCAGAAUCCCCGAACUCAAAGCAACCCCCCCAUACACGUUCUAUAUCAGGCACCACCCUGCCCAUGGCAGGUAACCCGAGCUGGACCUUGGCAACACCCCCAAGCAAGGGGCAGGCCCACCGUGUACGUAGACACUGCACACAUAAAGUAUCAAAUCCUACUUGUCAUUAAAUCGCCAGCAAUGUCCCAAUGCAACCACAUCCACACUGCAGAGCUUCUGCUCCCACUUACUUCUGCACACCUUCAGGUCCAACCAUACUGUCUCUCUAUGUAGUGUCCAUGCACAUAAACGGAUUGGCCUGACCAUGGGCCACAACAAAUAGGCCACAUACCCCCGUCUCUACUAUUUACUUCAUCACCUGCACCAGGGCCAGGCCAGACAGCUUCACCAGCAGCCCCUGCGGCACCUCGGAGCCCACGUGCUUCGAGAUCUGACCAAAGCACUUCCAGCACAGGAAGCGCACGUCCAGAUCUGGGCACAGCAACGACUCCUUGCACCAGUAGCCCGCCGGAGUGGAGACCAGCUGGCUGUUGCCAACCAUGAAGAACAUGGCGCCAAUCUCGCUUGGCUUCUUGUCCCCACUGCACAGGUCACAGUCCAGCACCUCAGUGCCGUCGCACCUGUGCAUUGGGUACAAAGCGAAAUCAAGUCAGCUUACAGUAAGCGCAUCAGCACAGCAACAGAACAGCAACAGCACAGCAACAGCACUGCAUGUACUCCCCGAGCUCUAGUACACAUGCUACACACUCACACGUGCUUCGGCAGCGGCAGGGUGGUGCCCAGGGGCAGCGCCCGCAGCACGCUGGGCACCUGGCAGAGCCGCAGCACAGUGUUGCACUCCGCUAACAGUGUUGCUGGGCUUCAGGCGCAUGGCAGCAGCGCUGGCUGAUGCAUACUCGCCCAAGUUGUUGUACGAGUAAAUGAGCUUGUGCUUCUCAGUGUCCGCAGCCAGGGCGCCGAUCGUGUUGUAGGCCUCGGGCGGAAUCCGGAAGCCCUGCUCCAGGAUGAUUAUGCCGUGGUCCUGCAACCAUAGUGAGACCGGGCAGAGGGAUAGUCAGAAAACAAGAAAUAAACGAGGGGCACGAGGCACGCAGCACGAGGCACGAGGCAACACGAGGCACUUCAAGGUAAGGGACCUAGGGGAGCCGAGCGAGGAGUCAACCAUCCCCUCUAGUAAGAAACGUGCCUUGUGGAAGGUGCUGUUGUCAAGCAGGGCGGUCUUGAUCUGGGCGAAGUCUCCACGAGGGCGGUAGACAACCACGGGCUGUUUCGUGCUCUUGUUGAUGAACAGGUACUUGUCACCUGAAGGGGGACAACAAAUGGCCUGUCUGUCAUACGGUCUCCUGCCGGUGACCCGUACAUCAACCUACCAAUACAAACAGAUUUCAGCCACCAACCCUGAAGAAAAGAUGGAAAUGGCACUCACCGCCAACCUUCUGGCCGGCCAGCUCGGAAACCUGGACGUUGUGCGCCAGCCGCAAGUCCUCAUCGGUCACCACCUUCUCAAAGCUCCACAGCUUGCACUUGUUCUCGUUGGAGGCCAUCAGCACGUCCUCAGCGGAAGGCCAGUUGCUGUAGGACGAGCACCACGCAUGGUAAGCAGGACAAAGCAAUAAGAUCAGCAACAAAUUGAGGAUUGCAAAAGUGAGACAGCAAGAUAAAGGGACAACCACAAACAUAUGCCCACCAUUCCUCACCUGUUGCUGUUCCAGGCCGCACGGAUGUUGUUGAACUGCUCGUUGCCGGCAAGGCAGCGGUCCACCAACAUGGCGUUGUUGUCCAAUGUAAUGCGCAUGAUGGUCAAACCCGAGCCCUCCUGACCCUUAGCCAGCGCCUCCUUGGACUUGGCCAGGCGGGUGUGGUAGGGCGACGCAGUGGGCGCGCUGGCCUUGGGCGUGGGUGCGACGAUGUACGGCACACGCGGCGGCUCCUGAGGGGGGCUUGGCGGGUCGGGCGGUCCACCGGCCGUGCCAGGGCUGUAGAAGUAAGGCUCAGUCACCUGUGCGCGACAUGAGUAAAACAGGCAGAGUCAGCAUAGAUGCAAUGAUCAGUGUUCUUGGCAAUUCCCAGCUUCUCCGGCACACUCCCGCGCACAUGCCGUGACAGCCUGCCAGUAGUUCCCACCUCCGAGGUGUUGGUGGCAUGGACGUGAGGCUUGGACGACAAGUAGCCAGCACCGCCGGGGUAGCCAGGGUCAUCUGGAGACAAGCACUUGAUGAUGGAGGGCGUGCCACUGCUGGCAGUAACGGAGCCAGUAGGGCCAGUGAAGCACCACCCAUCAUUUGCAUUCUCAUCCAGGUUGAGGCCGUCCAUCAGGGUGGUUGCACCCUGCAGGCAGGGCAGGGAAGAUCAAUAAAUUGCGGGGGUUUGCAGCAGGGGUUGGAGGGGCAAUUUGGUCUCUUCACAGCACAAGGUGGCCCCACCAUGCUUCAGAUUGUCCUGCAAGAAGUCAUCACCAACUGGAAGAACUGGGCUUGUAUCCGCGCCCUUGUCGCCCAAAAACCCUACCCAACCCUACCGUAGAGCCGGUCUCGAAUACGUAAUCCGCAGAGGGCGAUUCGAUUGGCCUCCUCAGCAUCUGUGGGGAUGCAAGGCAGAGCGUAAGUAAUGAAGCUUUGGCAGGAAAACAUUGGCGCGGAAUUGCGAUCGUUCACACAGACGAACUCCAACGCGAGCAUAGCUGCAGGUACCAACCUUCACAAACUGCAAGGACACAAGCGCUGACGUAGGUCAGCGCGUCAACCAAGAUGGACGUCGUUCGCCAAGACGCACAAGGGUUUUGCGCGCCUUUCCCGCGCUUGCCUCCCUAAAGGGCCCAGGUCGCUCCGGUACGGCACCAUGCAUCGCUCCAGGGUACAACGCUCGCCAACACACCCAAAUUACAACACCAAAGCGAAACGGAAAUGCGACAGAGCGCAUAUCGUCUGAGACAAGGCUGGUGCCAGGCUAGUGCAAGGCUGGUACCAGGGUGCACGCAUGGCCCGUGCCCACACGUUGUUACUUCGCUUUGUUUGUAGACUAACUUUCAACAACCAAAACACUAUUAUGGCGCCUCAGGACUAUAAACCAGACUGCCUGCCUCACUUAGAAUUCCAGUUCGAUCCUGAGAGGCCCCUCCGAACGCAAUUACUUGUGGCCACUACUGUUGGACGGAGGGAGUGGUCGUAUACGGUGCUUGACAGGCAUCUUUCCUCACAACACGGCAAAGCUGCGGGAUGGUGGUGUGGAACCGAAGCCCCGCAAAGCCCGGACACAGUACCGAUUGAUAAACCUGUCACCAUGUACGAGGCAAACAAGCUGGCCACAGCCAAGCCGGGCGCAAAGCCGGGACACAGCGGCUACUGGAAGCGGUCUUCCAAGGCGUACAUGCAAUUGGGCGGCUGGGCCGCCAUCCAUUCCACCCCUCAGCUCUCGGCCUACGCGGAUUCCUUUUAUCAGCCUUCCAUGACCACGCUGGUCGCUGCGCUCGACGCUCUGGAGCUGCAGGGACCAGCUGGACCAGCCACAGGGUCGGCAGUACCAUCAGCAGCAGCAUCGUCAGCGGCAGCUGCUGCCGCCCCCACCCCGCUGGCCGCACACCUGCCCGGGCCCUCCAGCUCGGCACUCACUGUCCCUUGGGUGGACCUGUCAUAUGCGGCCGUACGGCAGCAGCGGGAGCGCAUGGACCUCCAGUCUGUUCGUCGCCGGGCCGGUGGGGGCUUUGGGGAUGUGUACGUCAUGUCGCUUGAGGACAUGUCCGCUGGGCAGGGAGAGGUGGUGGUGAAGCUAUACCGGCGUGUCAUAGAGAAGUCAGGGGACGUUGCGGCUGAUCGCAGCGCGUUGGGCAAUGCCAUCCGUUGGGGAUUGCAGUGCGCGCGCCCUGACGUCCUGCCGCUGAGGGGCCUGGUGCGUGAUGUGUCAGGCGAGGCGGUGGGCGUGAUUUAUGAGCACUUUCCAUCCACACUUGAGCGCUGGAUCACAGCAAAAGAUGAAAAGGAGCGGCCAUCAAAAUCGCUUAGCCAGCUGUGCGGCGUGCUGCGUGAUGCGGCUGUCGCCACCGAGUACCUGCACUCGCUAGGCUACAUUCACCGCGACAUUAAACCGGCCAAUAUCCUGGUAAGUUGGCGCUCCUGUUAACGAAGUGCGCAUUCUGGGUUGUAGCUUUGUGGUGAUCAAAUGUGCUUGUGAUCUCAUUGCAGGUCACAACGGAAGGCCGCGGCGUGCUGGGCGACCCGGACCUCAUCACGGCAAGGAAGCAGGAGCGGGGGCAGGCAAGUGGAAGGUUAGGGGUUGCAAGGAUAUCGGCUGGGGGCGGGGGGGGGGGAUCUGCUAGUGCUGUCCUGUUGACCGACAACCUCACCUCAACAGCCAGCAAUCGAUUAUGGAGCAAGCGUCAACCCCCUGCUAUUUCCCUUCAUUCAAGCAGGCGGGCACACAGGGCUUCCGUCCCCCGGAGGGAGAAGGUGGCGUGACGGGUCCUGAUGCGCGGCACAGCUACGGAUUCGACGUGUACAGCAUGGGGAUGGUGUUGUACGUCUUGAUGGUUGGUAAACUCCCUGCGGAAGAUGCCAAUCUGCGGAAUGGGAUAACAAUGAGCAUGGAUGCUCGGAAGCGUUUCUGGGGCACCCUGGACCAGGCUCCAACUGGAGCGGCGGCAUGCACGGAUGCAAUGGCCAGGCUAGUACAGGUGUGUUGCACAAAAUCACCGGGUGAACGACUAAAGAAUGAAAACGCAAGUGAAAAGACGGUAAUGGCGCGGUUUGUGUUCGAGCUAGACAAUGCACUGGCUAUGCUGCACAAGUGAGUUGGUGCUGUGGCUUUAGCGAGGGCUGCGGAAUCCAAUAGAGGAGUUGCUACUCCAGUGUGGGAACGGGCUUACAAGGCGCUGAUGCACGCAAGGUACUUCGAAUCUUCAAAGGAGUUGCUAGUCACUUGUCAAGGACGUCCGUAAUAGUCACGUACAGCAGCCACCACCAGCCAGCCAUGGGCGCGACUGUCCACAGCGUUUACUGUCGGUUACGGUAACAUGCAUGUGAAUUCACCCUAGAGAGUCAACCAGCCCCAGCCAAGCCACGGCUUACCUCCCUGCUGCAGCGCUUGCUCCGUGAAGACCUGGCUGCGCGGCUUUUCGCCGCUGUUGGGGUUGCGCCUACGCACACGCGGUGCGAAGGCGGGGAAGGCAGCUGUGAUGGCUGUCCUGACGACCUCGCGGAAGGCGUGCGCUCCUGACGCGCCCUUGUACUUGACGCCACUCUCCUUCCAUUUGACCGAAACCAAGCACGCGCCGAGCGGCUUGGGGGCCACGUCGACGUCGGCAAGGUGAAGGAAGUCCGUGUACUUGACGCUAGUCGUGAGCCCAAACACAGGCCCUUCCCAAACUGUAACUCUACCCUCCUUGAUAAGGUCAAAUAUAGGUGCAGUCGGGUCCUCUGCGAUAGUCUGCAAAAUGCCAGACAUCCUUGCAAGCCAUGGCCUUAAUACAUUCUCUAAUGAAAGAUUAAGUAUGCAACGUGGCUCAUUAACUAAUACAUAUGCUUUCGCGACUAAAGACGCCAAGUCAGGGGCUCACAUGCCAUCCGGCGUCCACAAAGGGCCUUUUGAAAACAUAGUUGCAAUUCAGUAUAGCUGUAUGAAAUCUGAAUACAAACUACUUACGGGCGCUGCGGUAGGCGCGACUUGAGGACCAGUCGCGAGCGCAGCCAAGAAUGUGGAUCCCGGUUCGCUCAUGAAUAUUGGACGCGCCCACCCCAUCAUAUACAUAUUUAGAAUUACUUCUCAAGUGUAUUAAUAAGCCACAACCGCCUCCUCUGCGUUUCGUUGACCUCGCGUUUCCUCACAACUCCCCCCACAAAGUGGGACCCUGAUUCCAUCGUCCAAGGCACAGCCGACUCCCUGCUACUCCUUCCCCUUCCACACCCCAGCCCCAGUCUGCAUUCCCAUGCUUUCAACUUUGCUGCUGGGGGGAACAGGGCUUGGUCACAACAGGCCAGAAGUAUCCAGGCGGGUUCCAACGGAUAUCAAAUUGUCAAAAACGUCACGCCCCUGGGCGCAGCAGACCAGUACAAAAAUGUAUGUCAAGUCACCAAACAUUGGGGGGUUCCCUGAAAGAUGUAGCUGGAGAUUGGAGCAGAGCGCCCGACCCUCCUUUCCCUUCCCUUCCUCCCCUCCAGUCCCCUCUUGAGUCCCCUCCUGUCCCCUCUGUCCUCUACUGCCUCUACUGGACACAAGGGGCACUAGGGGCACUCGCAGACACUAGCGCCUCCGUAAUUGCAUGUGUUUUUGUGCUCAUUACAAUUUUGGACGCUGGCGGCUAGCGGGGUGCACCUUCCAGGACCGUGUGGGUUUCGCGGCAUGUUCGCAUGUUGCGUUCACUCUAUGGCUAGAAGCAAUUAUCUGAAAGGCGGAGUUCUGUGUAACUCGCAUUGUAUUAUCGACUGACUCUUAUCAUCUCAGGCAUAAAAGCCCAAGCUCUAGCACGCACGUUCUGACCGGCUGCCUUCGCUUCUGUCUUUGGGCCAAAUUGGACUUGCGGGGGUUCAAGUCACACGUGUUGGUAACAUGUUGCUGCAGCGCCAUGCGCCAGGCUUCACCAAGGUUCCGUCUCGGCAGUGCAAACCGAGCGUACCGAUUGCAAGGCAACCGCGCAGCAGCGUGUGUGCUCGCGCCACUCCCGGAGCAGAUCUGACCACGAACUAUGUUAUCGAGCCAGUCAGCUUUGGUAAGGGUUUGGAGUUGACAGAUGCCGGUCGCUGAAUCGCCGGAACAUUUGUUUUCCUUCCCCGUGCCCCGCUUCUCCACGUGCUUAGACCAACGUGAAACUGUACACUAAAUAAUUGCAGGUGAGGAUGCCGUUUUGGAAUGCCCGGAGAUGCGGUCGAAGCUGGUGGUCAGGUACGUGGUUGCUGAGGCGCGGCCCGCACCUCCCGGCUUGUGCUGACCCGCCGGGACCGGUUCCUUAUGUCCACAGGCCCAGCCCCUUUGUCACUCACAACAACUUCGGUGGCGGCUUCGGUAAGGCGGCGGCUACGGAGGCAUACGCACAAUGGGGAUUGAGAGAGCUGUGUCGUGCCUGCCGGAGGGAGUGACGGCGUGGCAAUGUCAAUCCGGGGCCGCCGACAGCCAGAACUACAACCUCUCACUGAGCCUGAAAUCCAUGGCCCGUGCACCACCAACAUUGGUACUAGAGCCCAGGCCCAGUCCUGCCGUUGUGCACGUGCGUCCCGCCAUUCAACCGCAACUCCUGACCCUGUCUCCCUGCCCCACAGUGUCUGACCAGGACCGUGUGGCGUUGAACUCCAUGCGCUUUGCCUCCCCCGACUCCGCGGGUGAGAGGCUUCACGGGCGUGCUAAUUUGUGUUUGUGAAGGACAUACCGGUCUGGCAUUGUGGGAGGCCGCCUCACUGGGCCUGCGGUGGCGGGUGUUGGUGCCUAUGGGUGUCCGGCGCCAUCUCACAUCCACACCAACCCGCAUUCCCAAGCCACGUCAAGCAGCCGCACCAACCCCACCAACCCUUUCCCAACCCCCUCUCCCCCUCUCCUUUGCCCCUCCCCCCUUCUCAUCCCCAUCCUCUGUCCCCGUACCCCCAUACCCCUUCACGCCCACAGGCGCCAGCCGCUCCAACUUCUUCCCGCACGGCGGCAAGGGCGGCAUCAACGUGCUGGAGGCGUCCAUGGACCAGCUGAACAUGACGCUGCCGCCCUGGGCCAUCCGCGCGGGGGCGAGGCGGGAGAUCUACUUCGACCCCUCGCAGGUGCGGAGCGUGGAGGGAGGGAGGGAGGGAGGGAGGACGGGGGAGGGAGGGCCGGGGAGGGCCAGGGAGGGCCAGGGACAACUCGAGUGUCUUGUUGCCCGCUGUACCUGGUGCCGCAAUCCUCUUUCUAUUAGCCAUGCAACCCCCACGUUGUGCCCUGUGACUGCUGCGCCCGCUGCAGACCACCGCCGCCAUCGUCACGUGCGGCGGCCUGUGCCCCGGCCUCAAUGACGUCGUACAGGUGGGAGGGGGGCCUGAGAGGAUGAGGGGUGGGGGAGGGGGCUGUAGAUAUUAGCCGAAACUGAACCGAACCCAAUGCAGAAGGACGAGGAGGAGAGCGUGGGGGGAGGGGGAUGUGGGGUGGGGUUGGGGGGUUGUUCAGUCCAAACCCAACUAUAUCGAGACCAAGCCAGCCCACAGAGCGCGAGGUAGGCGUGGCCUUGCCCUUCUGUCUUGGACAGUUUGACAACCUUGAGCCUUGUUCUUUGGGGGACUGGACCACGGGCUGCAGCACGACGCCUUGUGCCGGAGCACGACGCGUGUAUUGUACUGGUGGGCUGCGCCCCACGGCUGCGCCCACUGGAAACGCAAAUGGGGGAGCUGCGGCGCGGUUCUGUGCCUGGGCCGCACGCCCACGCCACCGCUGUUUGGGCUGGAACCAACUAACCCCACGCCACUACGCCUUCCCCCACCCCCAGGGCCUGGUGAACAAGCUGACUGACUACGGCGUGCCCGAGGGCAAGAUCCUGGGCAUCAAGUACGGAUUCAGGUGGGGCAGCGAGCGAGCGGCCGACAGGGCAAGUUGGAGGGUGCGGGUGCGGGUGAGACGUGGUGAAGCGGAAGAGAGCAGCGUGUGUGUGUGUAUGUAUGUGUGCGUGCGUGCGUGCGUGUGUGUGCGCGUGUGUGUGCGCGUGUGUGUGCGCGUGUGUGUGCGCGUGUGUGUGCACGUGUGUGCGCGCGUGUGCACACCUGUCAGGCGUACACGCGGCUGCGCACCGCUGCAUUUACCCUACGGUCCAACAGCACGGCACGUCGCCGCUUCCAUCGCUGCUGUCACUCCCACAACUUACUUCCUCAUGUGCCUUCGCAUGACCCACCCUGAUCUCUCCUCCGCCCCUCCCAAGUGCUCUCCUCUUCCGCGUGUGUGUGCACCACUGACUGCACCUGCGCGCAGGGGCUUCUACGACCCGCAGGUAAAGCCCAUCGUGCUGAGCAAGCGCGUGGUGGACGGCAUCCAGCUGCAGGGCGGGACCAUCCUGGGCACCAGCCGCGGAGGAGCCAACAUCAGGUGCGGGGGAGAGGGCGUGGGGAGAGGGGGAGAGAAGGGGGCGUGGGAGAUGGCGGAUGUGGGGUUAAUUGCCCGAGACGAGCGUACAGGGGUCAAAUUGGGCGGCAUCGCGGAACGGGAGGCUACUGGGGUGGUGGCGGUAGAGGAGGAGGAGGACGUCGGACGGUGGUGGUGGGAUUGGGGGAGCGAGAUGGGCAUGCGUGGCUGUGUGGAUGACGGCCGACAACUGCCGGUAUUCGCACGCUCACACGCUGCGCGUUGCGUGCCCUAGUCCGCACCCAGUCCACCAACUCAACGCCCUCGGGAUUCAUGUCACACCACGCAGGGAGAUCGUGAAGCGCAUUGACAUGUGGGGCAUUGACAUGCUCUUUGUGGUGAGUGGACAGGUGGGGGGGUAAAUGCCAAACCCAAAUAAACCAAGACCCGGCCAGCCCGCAGAGGGGGAACAAAGAGGGGUGACAGCUUGGGCGUUACACAUCCCUCUGUGGGGUAACCCCUCCGCCCGGCUGCCUCUUUUGACAUUCCUCGCACAUAAAACAAUUCUGCUGGUUCUUCGUCGCCUUAGAAGCCCUCCGGAACCUGCUGCAUCCAACCCGGCUACUCCCACCGCGCACUCACCCCCCCCCCAUGUUCCGCAAGAUGGUCUACCGUCUACCACUUCCUUAACUAAUCAUGAAUGUAAACCCCCCCCCCACACCCACACCCAACCCACUCACCCCGCAGGUGGGCGGCAACGGUGGCAACGCGGGCGCCAACGCCAUCAACGCUAUGUGCCGGCAGCACGACGUGCCCUGCUCCGUGGUGGGCGUGCCCAAGUCCAUCGACAACGACAUCCUGCUCAUCGACAAGUGCUUUGGCUUCGACACGGCGGUGGAGGAGAGCCAGCGCGCGCUCAUGGCGGCAAAGGUGCGGGUGCGGGUUGGGGGGCACCGGGCCUGGUUGGCAGUUCUCUCUUGCUUUGCCUCUGCCCGCCGCCUUCUCAGCCAACGUCUCACACGAGCAUAAUCGCAAUCCUGUUUAGAACUUGCCAUGCCAUGGACCCUCGUGUCUGUGGUCUCCCUCGUUUGUUCUGGAAGGGCCUCCUUCCAUGGUUGACAAACUAAACCGAACCAGGCCAAACUAGCGGAGCGCACGCAGAGGGGGAAGGGCCACUGAGCCUGGUGGCAGUCCUCUCUUACUUCGCCUCUUCGCCGCUUUGGUUGAUCGAAGGACCAAUGUUAUCUCGACUUGUGCUCUCACGCCACGCCUCCACAGGUUGAGGCCAGCAGCGCGCGCAAGGGCAUCGGCCUGGUCAAGCUGAUGGGCCGCCAGUCGGGAUUCAUCGCCAUGCAGGUGCGGGGGGUGCGGGAGGCCGGGCGGGCAGCGGCGGAGCCGGGUGUGUGUGUGCACACACAUGUAGGCGCAGGAGGAGGCAGGGGCAUUGUACAAUUUGCGUCGGAGCCUGCAUGCUGUGCGUCUCCCCUCCCUGCCUCCCUUCAACCCGCUACAACUCCACUCCUAAAUGAUUGUGCUGCAUCAUCUGCCCCCCAACCCCGCACCCCCCAGGCCUCCAUGGCCAGCGGUGUGGUGGACGCCUGCCUCAUCCCCGAGGUCAACUUCAAGCUGGACGGCGACAACGGGCUGCUCAAGUACCUGGACGGCGUCAUCAAGGCCAAGGGGCACGCGGUGGUGUGCGUGGCGGAGGGCGCGGGGCAGGUGAGGGCGUGGGCGCGGGGCAGGUGCGGGCGGGGCAGGUGAGGGCGGGGCAGGUGCGGGCGCGGACUGUUGGAGUUGGAGUUGGAGUUUGGGGGAAGGGGGGUGAGGGGAAGGGGGAGGUGGCGGGAAGGGGGGCCUGUGGGGCUGUGCAUCAGUCUCUUGACAGCUGAUGUGCCGUUACACGAAUACACACGGCACAUCGCCUGCACCAGUGCAACGUAACCCCCCUGCCCACCAUCUCACCCCACACCCCAACCUGACUUGUCCUGCCAUGCGUAUCCGUGUCUCUGGCUACUUUUCAGAAUGUACGGUAGCAACAACCAUCCCGCACCCACACACACCAACACACAACACAUGCACACGCACACACAAACAAACAAACAAACAAACACACACACACACACACACACAUGCACACGCACACACGCCUCUCACUCCACCAGGACAUUCUGGAGGACGGCGGCCAGAUCGGCACCGACGCCAGCGGCAACCCCAUCCUCAAGGACAUCGGCGCCUUCCUCAAGGACAAGUUCAAGGCCUACUUCAAGGACGCAGACAUCAAGUGAGCGCGUACAGUGUGUGUGGGGGCGGGAAGCAAAUCAUGCCCCUAUGCCCCUCCUCGCCUCGAUUCCUUGACAGUUGGGACCUAUUACGUUGAGCUCGCGCAUAUGACCCCCUCCUCGCCCCACACCACAAUAAACUCUUUGUAUGUACCCCCCCCUCAUAAACUCAUUGUAUGUAACCCCCUUCAUGAACUCAUGAAUUGACCUCCCCCCCCUUUCCGUCCUGCAGGUACAUCGACCCCUCCUACAUGAUCCGCUCCGUGUCCACCACCACCAACGACCGCAUCUACUGCAAGAUCCUGGCGCACAACGCCGUGCACGCCGCCUUCGCCGGCUUCACCGGCAUCACCGUGGGCCUGGUCAACACGCACUACGUCUACCUGCCCAUCCCGGUCAUCAUCCAGGCGCCGCGCAAGGUGAGGGGGGUUGUAAAUACCAGCCCAAACUAAACCAAACCCAAUGCAAUAGGGGGAUUGCUGUCGUGGUGGUUGGUGGUUGGAAGCAUGUGGGUUUGUGUGCGUGUGUGUGUGUGUGGGGGGGGGGGGGGGUAAACUCAAGCUUGUGAGGGUGAGGUGUGGCUGCGGCCUGCGCUGACGUACGCGGAUGUGCCGCGCCCGCCCUGCCUGCAGGUGGACCCGCGCGGCAAGGCCUGGAACCGCCUGCGUGCCGCCAUCGGCCAGCCCAGCUUCCAGUAAGGAGGAGGGACUGACGGCGCUGGGCAGAGGAUGGAAUGGCGAGGAAGAGGAAUGGCUAGGACGAGAGGUUGAGGGGCGGCGAGAAGGUGCCGGAGGCAGGUGCAAGCAGGAGCACGCUCGCAUGAGCGGGCGUGGAGGCAGCAGUACGGAGGCGGGGGAGAUUGGCAGUACUUUGUGCAUCCAGAGGAGGGUUUUGUGCACCAGGGCAUCACGGGGCAAGCAUGCGCGUCCGUGGGGCCAGUGUGUGACUGGGCGAGUGCCACAGCUUGAGGCCGCAUUCGACAUUGAUGUGCCUAGACAGGUAGCUUGGGUUUGCACGCCGCGCCGCGCGAAACACGUAUCAUCACGAGGCAAUGCAGCUGAGACCAAUACAUGCACGUGCACGUGCACUGCGCCUGCGCGUGCUUCUUCUUACCUAGCUGAUUGGGAGGCGUCUCCGUCGUGUGUCACAGGGCUGCCCGAUAUUAUUCUUUGAGCAUGAGUGUGUUUGCGGGGUGUGUAGGCACUAGGCAGUGCGUCCAUGCAUGGCGGGCGUGGGGCGGGCAUUCCUUCCCACUGCUGCCUGCGGGUAAUGUACAACGUGUGAGCGGCACGUGACGGCUCACGGUGUUGGUGCACGGAGAGGGCUGGCCAGCUGGACGGCCCCGGCAACGAACACCGCUGUGUGACUCUGUGUGAGGGAUCAGGCGUGUAACGUACAAGAGCUGUCACUUGGCACGCUUGAGCAUGCGCAUUUACUGGAUGACCGAAGAUGCGGUUAUGUUGGCAGCUCGCGCAUCGCUGGGAGUCAUUGCACGGCGUGGGCCGUAUGGCAGUCAUUGCCCGCGUCCCGCUCCCACAUUCUUCCGACUUGAAACGCUACCUAGGCCAUUCAGCAAUCAGCAUCCGUGCCUCAGUAAUCAAUCUAAGCGUGUACGCAAGACGCCAACCGAUAAGGCCGUGCCGCCUGGCUUUGAUGCUCAUCACCGGCAUGCUUACGGCACGUCGUUCUAAAGGUCUAUUUUAAUCGGAGUGCAACGCAGAUUAAAAUUGGUUUUGAAGUAAGGCGUAAGACAAAGGUCCGGACAUGCGUUGUGUUUGAGGUGGGUGGAGUGCGGAGGACAUGGGGCGUGCCGGUUUGGCCCUGGAGCCUUGGGUGGGCAAUGAGCAGCCGGAGCAGCUCAGUCCAGUUGUCUUUGAUUUAUUGCCGGCAUUACUGCGAGCGGUAUGUGGCCGGCUUUUAGCAGCUUUUCACUAGUCUUGCACAACUGACUCGCAUUGAGUUUUGGCCAGACUUGCUUACAGUUACAGCGCAUUACCCCGAUCAAGCUUUUCUCAGUGGCUACCAGAUACUGAUCUAUCAAGGACAAAGAAAAUAAGAGCGAGAAGUGAAAGGAAAAAGAAGGCCACAGGCGGCACCACGCUCCUGCUUGUUUGCGCGCAGCCCGUAGGGCUGUGGCGCAUUCCUUCCAGGCAAACAGGAUUUCAGCAUGCCAGAACUCAUGCGAUUAGACCGCGAUUUCUUGCGUUCAUUAGCCGGGCCGGAGCUCGGUCCUUGGAUCAGAGCAGCAUCAACCAAUGCAGCAGCAAGCGCUUUAGUACACCAGCGACAGCAGCGGCAGAGGAGCGGCCCACACCGGGCGAGUCCAGAGGUUUGUGGUGUCUGUGCAGGGUACGCGGCCGGCCGACAAAUGGGAUGUGCCGCAUUGUAUUUGAGCGUAUUAGUACUUUUUUCCCGUUGAGUCCAUGGCACUGGGUGACAGGCCCCCGGCUGGUGCCCGGGUCAACAAACUUCCGGAGGGUCCCGGGUGAACAAACCUUCCGGCUGGUGCCCGGGUGAACAAACCUCCGGUUGGGCAUGCCGGGUGAACAACGCCUCCGGCUGGUGCCCGGGUGAACAAACCUCCGGCUUAGCAUCCGGGUGAACAACUGCCGGCGUACGCGGUACGCACUAACAUGCUCUAGCUGUGUGAUGCCUCAGAAUAACCGGCUUAUCAUCGGCAGCAGCAAAGAAUGGGUACAACGGGUCGGCGUGCAGGCGGCAGGAUCACCAGCUGCAGCGGUGCAACCUGCUGCAGCUUGCGCGGCGGGGUUCCCAGGGCGCAGCAGCAGCAAAGGCGAGGCAUAACGGGGCGGCGGCCGAGACGGGCGGUGGCUAGCGGGGGCCGAAGCCGCCACCGCCGCGACACAGUGCCGCUGUCGGCACGCUGCAGACUGAGAAAUCUAGGAAUGGUGAGGGGGGUGAUGCUCAGGGCGGCGCCUGCGGGGUGGCUUGGCGCCGCCUGCUCUUGGCGGCGUCUGCGGGCCGGUUUGGCGCCGCCUAAGACUAGCAGCACCCCGCAGAUCGUAAGGCAUGGCUGGAGCUGAUGGUGGAACGGGGCAGUGCAGGCGUGGGACAUGCGGACGGCCGCAUUGGCGGGUCGGAGCAAACGCUGGGACGAGAGUCAGCUGCGGCUUGCGGAUUCGUGUAGGGGGGAUGUAUGGGCACGCAGGAAUGUGAAUGGGGGUAGUUGCUGCCCGGCGUGUUGAGAAGCCGGCCGGGCAGACUUUUGUGGGCGGCGGCCGUGACCGGCGCCGCCAGGCCGUGCCGCACGGGGGCCUAAAUGGAGAUAGGUCUUUGCCCCGCGGCACGGCUACCAAGCCCCUCUUCUGUUUCGCUGCCUCCCGGAUAUUUGGAGCUUUGCCAUUUUGUUUGUGGAAAGGGACGGGCCGCGCAGGUGGCUGUAUGGGUGUGGCCCUUUUGAGACGGAUGACAUCCAGACAUGACGAGUAUGUGGCUGUACGGAGUGAGGUCAUGUGUAAGCGUGCGUGGUGUGAUCUGGAAGGACCUCUUGUCUGCAGCCGACCAUCUCAAAGGUCUAUUUUAAUCGGAGUGCAACGCAGAUUAAAAUUGGUUUUGAAGUAAGGCGUAAGACAAAGGUCCGGACAUGCGUUGUGUUUGAGGUGGGUGGAGUGCGGAGGACAUGGGGCGUGCCGGUUUGGCCCUGGAGCCUUGGGUGGGCAAUGAGCAGCCGGAGCAGCUCAGUCCAGUUGUCUUUGAUUUAUUGCCGGCAUUACCGCGAGCGGUAUGUGGCCGGCUUUUAGCAGCUUUUCACUAGUCUUGCACAACUGACUCGCAUUGAGUUUUGGCCAGACUUGCUUACCCACCCGCCCACCCUGCAAGUCUGUUUGGAAAGUGCCCGCUGGCGUUGAGGGGUCUUACUGCUAGGCAGCAGAAGGAAAGCGCUCUUGCAAUUGUGUUACUGCUUAUGCUACAUAAUAUCCGGGGGGUAGUUGCUGCCCGGCGUGUUGAGAAGCCGGCCGGGCAGACUUUUGUGGGCGGCGGCCGUGACCGGCGCCGCCAGGCCGUGCCGCACGGGGGCCUAAAUGGAGAUAGGUCUUUGCCCCGCGGCACGGCUACCAAGCCCCUCUUCUGUUUCGCUGCCUCCCGGAUAUUUGGAGCUUUGCCAUUUUGUUUGUGGAAAGGGACGGGCCGCGCAGGUGGCUGUAUGGGUGUGGCCCUUUUGAGACGGAUGACAUCCAGACAUGACGAGUAUGUGGCUGUACGGAGUGAGGUCAUGUGUAAGCGUGCGUGGUGUGAUCUGGAAGGACCUCUUGUCUGCAGCCGACCAUCUCAAACCUACCCUCGCGCACAUCCAACAGCCCCGUCGCCAGUGCCCAGGGUUGCCUAGUACGCGACCCUCUCUCCAUAAUACUGUCCUGGCACCAUAUGCGUAUAUACACACAAGCCUCUAGGGCUCAGCCCCUAGCCUUACGAGCCUCGGCUCGUGAGGAAGCGCACAACAUUUUCGUUGGCGGCUUUGGCUUUCGUUACUAACUUUUUGUAGCCUUUUGCGGGCUCUGUGAGGCUUUACGACUUGGUUACGACUUGGUUUGGAUGGCUUCGGCCUUGGGUGGGUGCGUCGCGCCCUGUUUUCGGC
rnacentral:lncRNA from 1 species